rnacentral:rRNA from 1 species
GAUGAACGCUGGCGGUAUGCUUAACACAUGCAAGUCGAACGGACUCUUCGGAGUUAGUGGCGGACGGGUGAGUAACGCGUGAGAAUCUGGCUUUGGGUUCGGGACAACCACUGGAAACGGUGGCUAAUACCGGAUGUGCCGAGAGGUAAAAGAGAAAUUGCCUGAAGAUGAGCUCGCGUCUGAUUAGCUAGUUGGUGAGGUAAAGGCUCACCAAGGCAGCGAUCAGUAGCUGGUCUGAGAGGAUGACCAGCCACACUGGGACUGAGACACGGCCCAGACUCCUACGGGAGGCAGCAGUGGGGAAUUUUCCGCAAUGGGCGAAAGCCUGACGGGGCAAUACCGCGUGAGGGAAGAAGGCUCUUGGGUUGUAAACCUCUUUUCUUAGGGAAGAACAAAAUGACGGUACCUAAGGAAUCAGCAUCGGCUAACUCCGUG